rnacentral:rRNA from 1 species
AGUGAACGCUGGCGGUAGGCCUAACACAUGCAAGUCGAACGGCAGCACAGUAAGAGCUUGCUCUUACGGGUGGCGAGUGGCGGACGGGUGAGGAAUACAUCGGAAUCUACUUUUUCGUGGGGGAUAACGUAGGGAAACUUACGCUAAUACCGCAUACGCCCUACGGGUGAAAGCAGGGGAACUUCGGACCUUGCGCGAUUGAAUGAGCCGAUGUCGGAUUAGCUAGUUGGCGGGGUAAAGGCCCACCAAGGCGACGAUCCGUAGCUGGUCUGAGAGGAUGAACAGCCACACUGGAACUGAGACACGGUCCAGACUCCUACGGGAGGCAGCAGUGGGGAAUAUUGGACAAUGGGCGCAAGCCUGAUCCAGCCAUACCGCGUGGGUGAAGAAGGCCUUCGGCUUGUAAAGCCCUUUUGUUGGGAAAGAAAAGCAGCAGGUUAAUACCCCGCUGUUCUGACGGUACCCAAAGAAUAAGCACCGGCUAACUUCGUG